rfam:Haemonchus placei strain MHpl1 genome assembly, scaffold: HPLM_scaffold0000537
GGCACAAACUUGAAGUAGAAUAGUUGGGUAUGGUCAGCUGAUCCUACUAUCCACUCUACUUCAAGUUUGUGCUC